CAUGUGACCUGCAGGAAGCAAAGGGAUGGAAAUGAAAGAGACUGCCAAUAUUUGUCUCCUGGCAGUUAAACCCUCCCUUGAAAGAACUGAACAUUUUGGCUGCAGUUCCAGUCUUCUUCUCAGACUAACGUGGUCUACUCCUAUGGAAGUCCUUGAACCCCUGGGAGAUUCUUUUCUCGAUGAAGAAGAAAAAGCAUAUCCUCUAUCUUAUCCAGGGUUAUUGAGCAAGAACCGCCUAUGUUUCAAGAGUGGAAUCUUGGCUAAAAUAUGCUGGAAAAAGUGCCACCUGCUCUUCCAUUGUCUGCAUACCGAAAAGGGACUUCAGUUAAAAUUUAUCUGAAAUGGAACAGCUGAGGAGGUGCGUUGCCACAGAGCAGGACAAAAUUGAGGAGAACAAAAACCCUCAGCUGCUUCUCGGAAUUCUGCCUGAGGUAGCGUCCGAAACCUAAGUGACUAAGCCUGACUACAAAGAGUAUGGUCACAGCCAGACAACAUGUGCAAUUUGGAGAAAUCUGUUACUGGCUAUGAAUAUUUCUUUUUCUUCUAGUUUCACUGACAAAGUAUUCUGUGUAUGCUUCUGCGACUUAAAAUCUGGAAGCAAACCCACUGGGAAAAAAAAAAAAAGUCUAGUUGAAGAACUAAGCUGAGCAUAAAGAAAGGAAAUGCUUUGGUGCGGAUACACCUAAACCAUUGUACAACCAUGGCAGCAAGUACACUCUGAAGAUGCUGAAGCCUGCACUGUGUCAGCCGAGGUGACUAAGAGUGUGGCCUUCCUCCUUGCUUGUUCCACUCUGAUCAUGUGUAGGGCUCAUUUUCUGCAUAGGGUAGCACAUUUAAUAUUCUCAGUCAUGGUGAUAAAUUGACUAUACGAAAUUGGAAAAAGAAAUCUAUUAUCAAUAGAGCAAUUUAUUCCUGAGACUGUUGAUGGUAUAGGGUUAAACAGUUUGCUCGGUCCAGGUGCUAAAUGUCACAGGAAGAUACGAAACACAUGAUUGGGCUCUUCCUAAACUUGUUUCCCUUUGGCCUCAGAGAAAAUGCAAUGUAUAUAUUAAAAAUUAAAAACUGCAUAUAUGCAACGCACAUAUUAAAAAUUAAAAUAUCCACAAUCUGUAUCCACACUCUCUUGAUCUUCAAAAUUAUUUGGAUUUUAGCUUAAACCUAGCUCUACUAUAUAGGAGCUGUAGCAGAAUGCAGACACUUUGACUUGCAAAGCUUCAAUUUCCUCAUUUGUAAAAUGUGCUUAACAUUAUUUGCCAUGACUCAUUCACAGAACUUUUGCAGAGGGAUAUGAGAAGAUGCAUGAAAAAAAUAAUCUGUGGACCAUAAAACCCAAUAUAAAG
rnacentral:lncRNA from 1 species